CCUACGGGGGGCAGCAGUGAGGAAUAUUGGUCAAUGGACGAGAGUCUGAACCAGCCAAGUAGCGUGAAGGAUGACUGCCCUAUGGGUUGUAAACUUCUUUUAUAAAGGAAUAAAACGAGGCACGUGUGCCUUUUUGCAUGUACUUUAUGAAUAAGGAUCGGCUAACUCCGUGCCAGCAGCCGCGGUAAUACGGAGGAUCCGAGCGUUAUCCGGAUUUAUUGGGUUUAAAGGGGGCGUAGAUGGGUUGUUAAGUCAGUUGUGAAAGUUUGCGGCUCAACCGUAAAAUUGCAAUUGAUACUGGCAGUCUUGAGUACAGUUGAGGUAGGCGGAAUUCGUGGUGUAGCGGUGAAAUGCUUAGAUAUCACGAAGAACCCCGAUUGCGAAGGCAGCUUACUAAACUGUGACUGACAUUGAUGCUCGAAAGUGUGGGUAGCAAACAGGAUUAGAUACCCUAGUAGUC
rnacentral:rRNA from 1 species